rnacentral:rRNA from 1 species
UGGGGAAUAUUGGGCAAUGGGCGCAAGCCUGACCCAGCAACGCCGCGUGAAGGAAGAAGGCUUUCGGGUUGUAAACUUCUUUUGUCAGGGACGAGUAGAAGACGGUACCUGACGAAUAAGCCACGGCUAACUACGUGCCAGCAGCCGCGGUAAUACGUAGGUGGCAAGCGUUGUCCGGAUUUACUGGGUGUAAAGGGCGUGUAGCCGGGAGGGCAAGUCAGAUGUGAAAUCCACGGGCUCAACUCGUGAACUGCAUUUGAAACUACUCUUCUUGAGUAUCGGAGAGGCAAUCGGAAUUCCUAGUGUAGCGGUGAAAUGCGUAGAUAUUAGGAGGAACACCAGUGGCGAAGGCGGAUUGCUGGACGACAACUGACGGUGAGGCGCGAAAGCGUGGGGAGCA